rnacentral:lncRNA from 1 species
CCAACCAAAAUUCUCAUGCCUCCAACUGAUUUCACACACCCAUCUAGAAACCUUGUGACAUGUGGCAAACAUCAAAAAAAAGUCCAAGAGUUGCUUCAUGCAGAAAGACUCUUCGGAGAAAUUUUUUCUGAUGUUUUUCGAGAUAUCGCGAGGCUUCUCUUGGGUGGCAUUUUUCUCCACCCUUGAUCAGCACACUCUAGCCAUCCAAGGGCCCACAA